UACGUAGGGGCCUAGCGUUGUCCGGAUUUAUUGGGCGUAAAGAGCUCGUAGGCGGCUCGGUAAGUCGGGUGUGAAAACUCGGGGCUCAACCCCGAGACGCCACUCGAUACUGCCAUGGCUAGAGUCCGGUAGGGGAGCGUGGAAUUCCUGGUGUAGCGGUGAAAUGCGCAGAUAUCGGGAGGAACACCAAUGGCGAAGGCAGCUCGCUGGGACGGUACUGACGCUGAGGCGCGAAAGCGUGGGGAGCAAACAGG
rnacentral:rRNA from 1 species